AGCAUACAUUCAAACCCCAGAUACCCAGGAAAACUGGCAAUAAGAAAUUUCAAGCAUUAAACCUUGAUAACCUGGAGCUGACAUUCAUACGCUGACUGUGGAUUUCCCCAUGUGCUCUAAUGAAUGAAGAUCUGAGCCUGGACACAAAAGAGUAUGGUUCCGGGAAUGCUUCCGUUCAGUCCAUCUGCAUCAUAGUACAUGCCCAGGUGCAUGUAUAUGACUAUGCUACAGUAUUUUGCUCUAUAUAAUUUCCUAGAAGGGAGGACAAGAUGGAAAAAUGUAAAAGCUACUACAGGAACAGUAGGUUUCCUAAUCUUAAAGUAGUUGGGUCAAAGAUGGAAAUUAUUCGGCAUGACUAAUGCCAGUCUCCAGUGUACACCACUCCCUUGGCUCGAUCACAUCCACUGUGUGCUCAGCUACAAGAAGACAGAAUGAAAUUAAAGAGCAGGCACAGUCUGCUGACAUUAUGAUGCAGAAAUGGCUUUUAAAAGAGCCCACAAGCAAGAACCCCAGGAGCCGUGAGACCACCCAGUGUCCAGAUCUUGAUUUCUAAGACCAUUACCAACCAAAAGGAACUACACUUUCUGGAGAAAUGGCCGAUUCCAGCUCUGAGGAAAGAAAGUGCAAGGUGGGGCUGGAUUUCUCAGGAAGACUGCUGGAAACCUGUGUAGCAGCAGCUCUCAGCCACAGCCCAGGGCCAAGGGCUGGCGGCCCACAGCUGGGGAAGGACAAGUCCAUUCCUGGAUGCCUCUUCUGCUUACCUUGCACUUCCAGGAGCUGAUUAUCUAGAAGUGGGCUCCUGCUAUGAGCAAAGCACGGUGCUAGCCCUCGGGGGAGGGAGUAAGACUGACCUCAAUGAGCUGAUUUUGAAGUAGAAGAGAAGGGUAUCUACCCAAACUAGGAUGCACUGGUAAAGGUUUAAUAAGCAGCUUUCCCCGGGGGAAAAAAUACCUGAUUAUAGCAUUUGCCGGUUUCCAUGGUAUAAAUAUUCCCAUCAUGGCCUAUUUCAAGGGACCAGUGUGACAUCUGUGGAAGAGGUUGCAGAAUCAGGUCUUGAGAGCAAGUGGAAGCCAGAUCCAGCAUACCAGCGACCCCUGCUCACCAUGUGGCAAGGCAAUUUGUAAAACGUACUAAAGUAGAAGAAGAAUAUAAUUCUUUGGCCCCUGGACAGGGGAGCAAUACCUCUGACUGAACUUCCUGGGGAGGUUUCAAAGAGAAACUGUAUUUGGUUUGGGCCUGGAGGAAGCACAUGGCUUCCACCGGGGGAGCAGUGAAGGGAGGUCCUCCAGGUGGACAGAGCAGCCUGAGCCAAGGAAGCACGUACACGCCCACUGUGCCGGAGGACCAGUGUCCUAUUUGACCAUGGAGGCCAGAU